UCUGCCCCUAGAUGCAUUGUAGGUGUGGCUGCUAUAUCACAUGUGCAUCAGUAGGUGUCAGAGAGGAGAGAGGUUAGGUCUAUGAAGUAUUCUUACCUGUGAACAAGCAAAUUAUUAGUGACCCUACAUU